CAGCGCCGCUGACUAUUGGGCUCGAUGACCCUGUAUAUCUUCCCCCGCCGCCGAGUCCGCGUCGUCGCCAAACUCGCUGCUGCCGCGCAAUUCUUGCGAAGUGGGUACGACCGACGCAGCAGGGAUAUAAGCCUACGCCUCAGAACUCCCAGUUCCCAUCUCCGCUACAGAAAACCCCAGCACCAGAGAGGUCAAGGAGAGGAGUGUCGCUUCCAUGCGCCAUCUCAAGCGAACCUGCGAUUCAGUCUCGGGCAACUCACGUGGGUGGCCAACAGAAGAUUGCAGAAGCGCGCUCGGGGUUCGCCUGUGCCAUGGGCGGACUGGUGUACCCGGAAUUGCUCGUCAGAGCGGGAGCGCUGCCGUCGUCUGCCUUCUACCAUGGGCAGGGAUCUUCGCGGCAUAAUCAGUGACGAGCAAGUGAUUGAGGAUCCAGGUGUUCAGCAGGUAGAAGUUGCUGAGCAGGAGCUCAUUGAAGGUGCUCCAGAAGGAGCCCUACAAUGAGGAGUACGAGCUUAUCUAGGUGGCGUCUCCCAGUCAGCUUUAUGGCGCCAAGGAUUAAUAUUUAGUUCACUUUACUGUUAUCAUUUAUUUAUGUAAGACUUCCGC
rnacentral:misc_RNA from 1 species